GUGGGGAAUUUUGGACAAUGGGCGCAAGCCUGAUCCAGCAAUGCCGCGUGCAGGAAGAAGGCCUUCGGGUUGUAAACUGCUUUUGUACGGAACGAAACGGCUCUGGUUAAUACCCGGGGCUAAUGACGGUACCGUAAGAAUAAGCACCGGCUAACUACGUGCCAGCAGCCGCGGUAAUACGUAGGGUGCAAGCGUUAAUCGGAAUUACUGGGCGUAAAGCGUGCGCAGGCGGUGCUGUAAGACAGGCGUGAAAUCCCCGGGCUCAACCUGGGAAUUGCGCUUGUGACUGCAGUGCUGGAGUGCGGCAGAGGGGGAUGGAAUUCCGCGUGUAGCAGUGAAAUGCGUAGAUAUGCGGAGGAACACCGAUGGCGAAGGCAAUCCCCUGGGCCUGCACUGACGCUCAUGCACGAAAGCGUGGGGAGCAAACAGGAUUAGAAACCCGAGUAGUCC
rnacentral:rRNA from 1 species